UUCUUUACCACUGGGACACUUAAUUACAUUCAGCUACUGUGUAUGAAGCAUGGAUAGGACUUCUGUUGAGGUGAGAGAGGAGCUGACUCUGAAACCAGCAGCAGAUUGAAAGCUUGAUGUCUUGGAUCAACAAACAGGCACCUGUGAGAUUCUCAUAUCUUUAAAUUCAAGGCCAAGGUUGAUUGCAUAUGAUCUUGAGAGAAGCAUGUGUAUACUUCUAGGUGGAUGAAGUCUUAAAUGUGUUUGUCCUUGGGAAGUUGAACUCUAUUCUCCUCUAUCCAAGUAUGUUUCUUGGUAGGAAGAGCCUUACCUUC
rnacentral:lncRNA from 1 species